UCUAGCCAGAUAAUUACUCUUAAUAG
rnacentral:misc_RNA from 1 species